rnacentral:hammerhead_ribozyme from 1 species
AUCCAGCUGUUUGAUGAGUCCCAAAUAGGACGAAAUGCACAUCCUCGCUGGAU